rnacentral:rRNA from 1 species
CGAACGAAGCACCUUGGACAGAUUCUUCGGAUGAAGUCCUUAGUGACUGAGUGGCGGACGGGUGAGUAACGCGUGGGUAACCUGCCUCAUACAGGGGGAUAACAGUUAGAAAUGGCUGCUAAUACCGCAUAAGCGCACGGUACUGCAUGGUACAGUGUGAAAAACUCCGGUGGUAUGAGAUGGACCCGCGUUGGAUUAGCUAGUUGGCAGGGUAACGGCCUACCAAGGCGACGAUCCAUAGCCGGCCUGAGAGGGUGGACGGCCACAUUGGGACUGAGACACGGCCCAGACUCCUACGGGAGGCAGCAGUGGGGAAUAUUGCACAAUGGGGGAAACCCUGAUGCAGCGACGCCGCGUGAGCGAAGAAGUAUUUCGGUAUGUAAAGCUCUAUCAGCAGGGAAGAAAAUGACGGUACCUGACUAAGAAGCCCCGGCUAACUACGUGCCAGCAGCCGCGGUAAUACGUAGGGGGCAAGCGUUAUCCGGAUUUACUGGGUGUAAAGGGAGCGUAGACGGAAUGGCAAGUCUGAUGUGAAAGGCCGGGGCUCAACCCCGGGACUGCAUUGGAAACUGCCAAUCUAGAGUACCGGAGGGGUAAGUGGAAUUCCUAGUGUAGCGGUGAAAUGCGUAGAUAUUAGGAGGAACACCAGUGGCGAAGGCGGCUUACU